ACUUUAGUGGCUUAGUGGUUAGAGUGUCUGCCUUGGAUGCGGGAGGUUGUGAGUUUGAUUUCUGGUCGAGUA